UACGGAGGGUGCGAGCGUUGUCCGGAAUCACUGGGCGUAAAGGGCGCGUAGGCGGCGCGGUAAGCGUGCGGUGAAAGUCCGGGGCUCAACCCCGGAUCGGCCGUGCGGACUGCCGGGCUUGAGCACUGUAGGGGCGGGUGGAACUCCGGGUGUAGCGGUGGAAUGCGUAGAGAUCCGGAAGAACACCGGUGGCGAAGGCGGCCCGCUGGGCAGUGACUGACGCUGAGGCGCGACAGCAUGGGGAGCGAACAGG
rnacentral:rRNA from 1 species